UAAAAAUAAUAACAAUAAUAAUAAUAAUAAUAAUAGCAACGACAACGAUAUAAAAUACCUUUAUAAUAAAUAUCAUCAUUUGACAAAGAAGUAAAUGUGUAAGGGUAUGCGCGUGUGUGCGUUUUUGUUUGUGCGCGAUCUUAUUAAAUAAACGUUACGUUAUAUAUAUAUAUGUAUAUAUAUAUGUAUAUAUAUAUAUAUAUAUAUGUAUAUAUAUAUAUAUAUCCCCAAUGUACUUACUUACACUCUCUCUCAAACUCAGUCAUCAUCAAACACGGAUACGUUCAAUGAUCGAUAUACAACCCAUACCUGCAGCUGUAUAGGCAUUCAGCAGCACAUUAUGUUCAGACGUGCUCUCUCAUACCAAGGUCAAUAAACGUAAGAUUGCACGCGAUAUUAACACAACAACAUACCGGGGUCAACGGUAGGAAGGAGUCAACAACGUCCACACGUACAUUUGUAUGCAGCAUUUCAAUAUAGCAACGAUCGACGCCUCUAUGAAAUGUGAAAUUAUAAUAAAGUGUAAAGGAGAAAAAAACAUUAACAACAACAAAAGUAUAUAUAUAUAUAUUGCUUUUGCAUUUUUGUUGUUGUUCAUCAUAAGCAAAUAUUUUCUAAUUUAAUUUUGAGCGAAAGAGCGCGCGCGGUGCGCUUAUCCACCUACCACCACCAACAACAACAACAACAACAACAACAGCGCACGGUAACAUGUCUUCAUGUAAAGGAUUCAAUGAUCUUCAAUAGGUCUGAUGGCUAUUUUGGAUGUAUGAUCCUUAUAAUUUAUAUAAAUGCGUCCCCAAAGACAACGUGUGGGAUUUGUUGAUGUCAAGGCAAAGACACCGUUCAUUAAACGUAUACGUUGUAAAAUAAAAUCAAAUCGUUUUCAUGUACCGGUAAAAUGAUGCAUCACAACAAUGUUCGCGUGCUUUAAACGCGAGUUAAUGCAGUUAAAAAAUUUUU